GCAAGAGUGCUAAGACGACAGGAACUGAAUUGAACUCGAGCUAGGGCUGACCACAUCCAACGUUUCUCUUUCUUUCUCUCUCUCUCUCUCUCAAAUCUCACAGAAAUCCCUUUUCUCUCUCCCAAGCCGCCGACCACCUCCAGCAAGACCGGCGGCGCUUCGCCAGCAGUUCUUCACCCCCACCAUCAUCUGCAUCUGCCGACUCUCCCUCUCAACAUCUCGCCCGACUCUCUCUGUCUCCAUCUCCUCUGGCGCCAUGAACAGCUGCAGCCGCAGCCGCUCUUCAACCGCUGCAGCUCGACCCCCCUUCUUCACCUCUUCGCCGACUCUUUCUCCAUCCCCAUCCCUCAAUUGGUCAAACCCCCAGAUAUAGAAACCCAAAAUCUCUCUCUCAAGACCCAAAUUAGAAAACUACCCUCUGCCUCUUCCUCUUCCUCUCACUCAUCCGCCUGCCGCUACCGUCUACCAUAGCAGCGGCUUCGGUAGGGUUUGGUGAUUAGAGAAGGAGCAACAGAAUGGGAUUUGGGGGAAAGCGGACGGGAGAGAGAGCUAGGGUUUGG
rnacentral:lncRNA from 1 species